GACGAACGCUGGCGGCGUGCUUAACACAUGCAAGUCGAACGAAGUGGCGCACGGGUGAGUAACGCGUAAUCAACCUGCCCUUCAGAGGGGGACAACAGUUGGAAACGGCUGCUAAUACCGCAUACUGAAGGAGGGGAUUGCGUCUGAUUAGCUCGUUGGAGGGGUAACGGCCCACCAAGGCGAGGAUCAGUAGCCGGGUUGGGAGGGUUGACGGCCACAAUGGGACUGAGACACGGGCCAGACCCCUACGGGAGGGAGCAGUUGGGGAUCUUCCGCAAUGGACGAAAGUCUGACGGAGCAACGCCGCGUGAGUGAUGACGGCCUUCGGGUUUUAAAGCUCUGUUAAGCGGGACGCGGUACCGGAAGAGAAAGCCACGGCUAACUACGUGCCAGCAGCCGCGGUAAUUC
rnacentral:rRNA from 1 species